ACCAGGGAGUUGGACAGUGCUUGCAGAGUUGCGUUUCUUUUCAGACAAGGCUGUCCUUUUAAAAUUGCUGACUGUGCAGAGACAAGGCUUUCAUAACCUCUAAGGCCAAAAGCACAUCUCAACAAUAGCUGAUCAAACGAAGGCGUUUCACCAGGAGAAAAUCAAGUUGGUAGACAUGUAAAGAGGCAGGAGACAAAGCAACACCAGCCGCAGCUCACCUUUGCCCGAUGCUUUCGCCUGUCCCGUGCUCUUCACCUGCAUUUGGUCAUUAAGCUUCGCAUUACUUGCACGAGGGAGAGCCACUUGAUAGCCAAGACUUUGGCUGUAGCCAGUAAACUUUGGAAGUAGCCAGUAAACUACAUGGCUUCUAAAGACAGACGAAAAAAUUUCAUUCUGGAGUGAGCACGUUAUAAUACUCCAGUAAAUGAAUGGGAGUGAUACCAACAAGAGAGUGGAAACAGAAGCCUCAGGGCCUCCUUCUUCUCAUGAAGCCAACAGCCCCACAACAGUACGGGGAGCAAUUCCCACUGUGAGAAAUUCGGAAACCAGGUUUCAUCUUUUGUUCUGCAAUGUUCUCGAACAUUCCCAGAGAGUGAGACACACGGGGGUGUGCAAGUUCCUCAAGCAUCCCACACCGAAGAAGAUACUGCGUACGGACAGCAGUGGGGAACCAGGCACAGUGCACUACGUGGUAUGGUCGGGACUUUAAUCCCAGCUCCAU